UUUAUGGAUCCAGACUUUUGAUUUGUAAAACACCGUGUCAGGGAGGCCGUCUAGUAACCCACUGGGCAGAUUCCGCAGAGAGCCACGGUGGAAAGCUCUCACACGCAGCCCAUGAACGGCUCCAGAGCGAAGGAGGGACCGUGAAGGAAGCGGGAGGUGAUGGGUACGGAGGUGGCCGUGGCCUGGGCCUUUAGUUAUGCUGGCACCAACCUUCACACUUGCAGUUGCGUGUUCUCCGGGCCUUCCUUGGAUUAUGUUCUAAAGAUGUGUUUUAACGGCUACCGUACAGAGCGAGAUGAGGAAGCAAUGGAGUCUCAUCGUGACAGGCAAAGGGCACAGAGAAGCACUUGGCAAGAUGGCUCAGCAGGUAAAGGUACUUGCUGCCAAAUCUGACAACCUGGAUUGGGUCCUGGGACUCACAUGGAGGAAGGAGUGAACAGGUGCCUCUGGAUGGUCCUCUCACCUUUACCACAUGCCUCGGCUGGCACAUGUCCACCUACCAACCCAAAGUAUAACUAGAAAGUGUAAAAAGGACUA
ensembl:antisense uncharacterized LOC110301051